UACGGGGGGGGGCAAGCGGUUUGUUCGGAAUUACUGGGCGUAAAGGGGCGCGUAGGGCGGCUCAAUCAGUCGGGGCGUGAAAGCUCUGGGGCUUAACCCCAGAAAAGUCGUUCGAUACUGUUGGGCUAGAGUGUGGAAGAGGCUACUGGAAUUCCGUGUGUAGCGGUGAAAUGCGUAGAUAUACGGGAGGAACACCUGCGGCGAAGGCGGGGUAGCUGGGCCAACACUGACGCUGAUGCGCGAAAGCUAGGGGAGCAAACGGGG
rnacentral:rRNA from 1 species